rnacentral:rRNA from 1 species
ACGGCUCAACCGUGGAACUGCUUGGUAAACUACUGGUCUUGAGCUCGGCAGGGGCCGCCGGAACUCUAGGUGGAGCGGUGAAAUGCGUAGAUAUCUAGAGGAACGCCAAUGGUGAAGACAGGCGGCUGGGCCGACGCUGACGUUCAGGCACGAAAGCGUGGGUAGCGAACGGGAUUAGAUACCCCGGUAGUCCACGCCCUAAACGUUGUGCACUAGGUCGGGGAGGUUUUGACGCCCUCCCGGCCGCCGCGAAAGCAUUAAGUGCACCGCCUGGGGAGUACGGUCGCAAGGCUAAAACUCAAAGGAAUUGACGGGGGCUCACACAAGCGGUGGAGCAUGUGGCUUAAUUCGAAGCAACGCGAAGAACCUUAUCCUGGGUUUGACAUGUACGGAUUAGCUUUGUGAAAGCAGAGUAACGCCUUCUGGUGGAACGUACACAGGUGUUGCAUGGCUGUCGUCAGCUCGUGCUGUGAAGUGUCGGGUUAAGUCCCUUAACGAGCGAAACCCCUGCCGUUAGUUGCCAGCGAGUCAUGUCGGGGACUCUAACGGGACCGCCGGUGUCAAACCGGAGGAAGGUGGGGAUGACGUCAAGUCCUCAUGGCCUUUAUGCCCAGGGCUGCACACGUGCUACAAUGGUGCGUACAGAACGAAGCGAUGCCGCAAGGCGGAGCAAAUCGUGAAAAGCGCGCCCCAGUUCAGAUUGUGGUCUGCAACUCG